rnacentral:rRNA from 1 species
AUGGACAUGGACGGAGCUAACCAAGACCGGCUGUCAGGCUGCGGCGAGGAAUGCGACGCGGAGGGCUGCGAGUGCGGGGCGGACGGCUGCGAGGAAUGCGAGUGGUGGAGGCUGCACUGCUACUGGAGCCACGCCGGCGACCACCCGAGGCAGUUCUCCCUCGUCCCCGGCGACGAUUUCACGGACCAUAUGCGCAUACAACCGCCGGUUGCGAGCCAUCUGAGGAACUUGAUCACCGAGUUUGAGGAGAUCCAUCUUGAAGCUCCUGAUGGCCGCGGCUACCCUGUUAAAAUCGGUUGGGAGUUUGGUGAAAUUGUUCUUAGGUCUGGAUGGCCCGACUUUGUCAAGGCGCAUCACAUAGAACAAAACUACUCCGUCUGGUUCGUGUACCGUGGGAACUCCAGUUUCAAGGUUCACAUAUCCAGUUCAUCCGGUCACGACAACUCUUCUCCACCACCUCCUCGUGAUCGUCAUGUGCUGAAUGAACAAGUGGUGCCUGAUCCUGCACAUGUUCAGACAUCAAUCGGCCUAGACUAUACCGCAUUCCCUGGGACCUGCGUAAGCCAUGAACAAGACAAUAAAGUGCUAGAACUAGCUCAGAGCAGCGUGGGAUCUGAAUUUCGUCUGCAUGUGGCAGCUGUGAUCAAAAGAAAUGCCAACAGGGACUGCCAUGUUUACAUACCAUUGACGCUUUUGGACAGUUUCAAAGAGGGGAUAACUGAAGCUCCCAUUCAGCUCAAAGCCCAUGGCAAGGGCAUGAUAUACGUUGUUGGCGCAAGCAAGCAUGAUGAUGACCAAGUAAUCCUCCAAUCUGGGUUGAGUCGUUUUGUAGCUUGUCACCGCAUGCAAGACAACGACCUCCUCGUCUUCAGAAGGAACGGGAAAGCCCACCUCGAAGUUCUUGUCCUUGACCCAAGCGGUUGUGAGAAAACCUGUUUUGACACAGGAAACUAUUCAAACGCGAGAGAAGGCCGUUGGGCUAAAUCAGGACUCCAAGCUCGCGAGUCUAAUGAAGCCGGUUUAGAAGCUCCUAGGUCCAACAAUUACAUAUCAACCGGGCCCCCUCUACAUAGCCAACAGGAAGCGAAAGUCGAAGAGAGGGUCCGGGCAAUUGGUUCCGUAUUUCCUGUGUUUGUGAAAGUGAUUACCUUCAAUGAUGUUGCUACCGUGUACUUGGGCAAGGACUAUGCUUCGGCAUGUCUCCUGACCCGGCCAGGACGCCUCCGGCUCCUUCUGGAGGGUGACGAGAGGGAUUGGGACUGCAGGCUGGGCUUGAGGAAAUCUAACAAAACUUGGUGGAUCGGCAAAGCCUGGAUGAAAUUCACCUCGGAUGUCGGGCUGGAGGAAGAUGACAUCUGCCUCUUCGAACUGACCGACACGAGCAGCCUCACGAUGAAGGUCCAUGUGAUCCGCAAGUCGGAUAUACCGGCGCCAUCAGAGAGUUAA